AGUGAAAGAUGGCGGUAGGCCUAACACAUGCAAGUCGAACGGCAGCACAGUAAGAGCUUGCUCUUACGGGUGGCGAGUGGCGGACGGGUGAGGAAUACAUCGGAAUCUACUUUUUCGUGGGGGAUAACGUAGGGAAACUUACGCUAAUACCGCAUACGACCUACGGGUGAAAGCAGGGGAUCUUCGGACCUUGCGCGAUUGAAUGAGCCGAUGUCGGAUUAGCUAGUUGGCGGGGUAAAGGCCCACCAAGGCGACGAUCCGUAGCUGGUCUGAGAGGAUGAUCAGCCACACUGGAACUGAGACACGGUCCAGACUCCUACGGGAGGCAGCAGUGGGGAAUAUUGGACAAUGGGCGCAAGCCUGAUCCAGCCAUACCGCGUGGGUGAAGAAGGCCUUCGGGUUGUAAAGCCCUUUUGUUGGGAAAGAAAAGCAGCAGGUUAAUACCCCGCUGUUCUGACGGUACCCAAAGAAUAAGCACCGGCUAACUUCGUG
rnacentral:rRNA from 1 species